rnacentral:lncRNA from 1 species
CCUUCUUUCCAGCCAUCUCCCCUCCUCAGAACAGCCCUCGUCCCCUGAAAGGGCAGUCUGACUCAGCCCCAGCGGCCGCCCCGCCCCUCCUACAGGUCCUCCCUUUGCCCUUGAAAUGGAAGACAAGGCAGCAAGGAUCCGGCCGCACCUCACGCAGUGCCCAGCCUGCUGGCAGCCAGAGCCCUGCAGAGCAGGACAGGCAGAACUACCACGCCCCACAGAGGGAAGACUAGCAUCCUUCAUUCCAGACAAAAGGAACUACAGAAACUUAUCAGACCACCUGAGAGCAAAGAGGGUUAUUCAUCUACCCAGCCUUCCACUCACCAGGGUUUUGCAAGCCCCCACUGAGCUCCAGGAACUAUGCCAAGUUCACUGCUAG